AUGUGUGUCCCAAAAGACCAAGGAGGCAUGGGCUUCUGAGAUAUACAUUGUUUCAAUCUGGCUUUGCUAGCCAAGCAAGAGUGGCGUUUGCUUGAUAAUCCGUAAUCAUUAUGUGCUACAAUCUUGAGGGCUAGAUACUUCCUACAUGGCGAUUUAAUGAAUGCAAAUCUAAAAAAGGUUCCUCUUUUACCUGGCAAAGCAUUAUGGAGGGAGUUAGCUCUCUAA
rnacentral:rRNA from 1 species